GUGCUCGCUUCAGCAGCACAUAUACUGGAACGAUAUAGAGAAGAUUGGCAUGGCCCCUGCGCAAAGAUGACACACAAAUUUGGGAAGCGUUCCAUAUUUAU
rnacentral:snRNA from 1 species